UUAAAGAGUGUAAAAACUCCCAAACCCAUGUGAACUUACCACUGUUGCCUCGGUGGGCCGCUUGCGGCCUGCCGGUGGAAAACUAAACUCUUGUUAUUUUAUAAUCUCUGAGUACAACUUUUUAAUAAGUAAAAACUUUCAACAACGGAUCUCUUGGUUCUGGCAUCGAUGAAGAACGCAGCGAAAUGCGAUAAGUAAUGUGAAUUGCAGAAUUCAGUGAAUCAUCGAAUCUUUGAACGCACAUUGCGCCCACUAGUAUUCUGGUGGGCAUGCCUGUUCGAGCGUCAUUAACACCACUCAAGCCCCUUGGCUUGGAAUUGGGAGAUUGCUGUACUGCAACUCCUCAAAGAUAGCGGCGGAGUCGCGUUGACCUCUGAGCUUAGUAAUUAUUUUCUAGCUUGUGAGCGUUGCGUGUCCCUUGCCGUAAAACCCCCAUCUUUUUAAUGGUUGACCUCGGAUCAGGUAGGAAUACCCGCUGAACUUAAG
rnacentral:rRNA from 1 species